UACGUAGGGGGCUAGCGUUGUCCGGAAUCAUUGGGCGUAAAGAGCGUGUAGGCGGUCCGGUAAGUCCGCUGUGAAAGUCGGGGGCUCAACCCUCGAAUGCCGGUGGAUACUGUCGGGCUAGAGUGCGGAAGAGGCGAGUGGAAUUCCUGGUGUAGCGGUGAAAUGCGCAGAUAUCAGGAGGAACACCUAUUGCGAAGGCAGCUCGCUGGGACGUAACUGACGCUGAGAACGCGAAAGCGUGGGGAGCAAACAGGG
rnacentral:rRNA from 1 species